rnacentral:rRNA from 1 species
CCUACGGGAGGCAGCAGUAGGGAAUCUUUCACAAUGGGCGAAAGCCUGAUGGAGCAACGCCGCGUGCAGGAUGAAGGCCUUCGGGUUGUAAACUGCUUUUAUAAGCGAGAAAUAUGAUGGUAACUUAUGAAUAAGGAACGGCUAAAUACGUGCCAGCAGGCGCGGUCAGUCGUAGGAUCCGAGCAUUAUCCGGAGUGGAUGGGUGUAAAGAGUUGCGUAGGUGGCAUAAUAAGUAGCGAGUGAAAUCUGGUGGCUCAACCAUUCAGACUAUUCGCUAAACUGUUAAGCUCGAGACCGUUAGGGGUAAGUGGAAUUUCUAGUGUAGGAGUGAAAUCCGUAGAUAUUAGGAAGAACACCAAUAGCGUAGGCAGGUUACUGGAACGGUUCUGACACUAAGGCACGAAAGCGUAGGGAGCAAACAGGAUUAGAUACCCGUGUAGUC